UUGUGUCUUCCUAGAGAUUUUUUUGUUUUCCAAGUGUUUAGUUUUCCCGGUGUGUUGGAUUUUGUUUUUGGUCUUUGACUGCUGGUUGCAGGAUAUCUACUGCCUGCCUACCUUUGGACACGUUCUGCUCCUGUGACCUGGAAUUAAAAUAAAGGACCGCCGGCAUCCAGGAUAUUCCAAACCCUUAAGUGGGUCAUGAAGGAGACGAGGAGAGAAGCAUCCUAUGAUGAGUCAAAGUAAUUUUGGGAACAGCCAACGAGGGACCAAGUGAAAGCGUAAAGAAGCACAAGCCUGUGCCCUGAGAAACGCUGGCUUAAUGGAACUACAGCAUGUUCUCUGCUCACCAUCGACUGUCUGG